rnacentral:rRNA from 1 species
CCUACGGGUGGCAGCAGUGAGGAAUAUUGGUCAAUGGGCGGGAGCCUGAACCAGCCAAGCCGCGUGAGGGAAGAAGGUACAGCGUAUCGUAAACCUCUUUUGUCAGGGAACAAAGGCGGGGACUAGUCCCCGGAUGAGGGUACCUGAAGAAAAAGCAUCGGCUAACUCCGUGCCAGCAGCCGCGGUAAUACGGAGGAUGCGAGCGUUAUCCGGAUUUAUUGGGUUUAAAGGGUGCGCAGGCGGAAUGUCAAGUCAGCGGUAAAAUUUCGGGGCUCAACCCCGUCGUGCCGUUGAAACUGGCGUUCUUGAGUGAGCGAGAAGUAUGCGGAAUGCGUGGUGUAGCGGUGAAAUGCAUAGAUAUCACGCAGAACUCCGAUUGCGAAGGCAGCAUACCGGCGCUCAACUGACGCUCAUGCACGAAAGCGUGGGUAUCGAACAGGAUUAGAUACCCCAGUAGUC